rnacentral:rRNA from 1 species
AGUGAACGCUGGCGGUAGGCCUAACACAUGCAAGUCGAACGGCAGCACAGUAAGAGCUUGCUCUUACGGGUGGCGAGUGGCGGACGGGUGAGGAAUACAUCGGAAUCUACUUUUUCGUGGGGGAUAACGUAGGGAAACUUACGCUAAUACCGCGUACGACCUACGGUUGAAAGCAGGGGAUCUUCGGACCUUGCGCGAUUGAAUGAGCCGAUGUCGGAUUAGCUAGUUGGCGGGGUAAAGGCCCACCAAGGCGACGAUCCGUAGCUGGUCUGAGAGGAUGAUCAGCCACACUGGAACUGAGACACGGUCCAGACUCCUACGGGAGGCAGCAGUGGGGAAUAUUGGACAAUGGGCGCAAGCCUGAUCCAGCCAUACCGCGUGGGUGAAGAAGGCCUUCGGGUUGUAAAGCCCUUUUGUUGGGAAAGAAAAGCAGCAGGUUAAUACCCCGCUGUUCUGACGGUACCCAAAGAAUAAGCACCGGCUAACUUCGUG